UAUACUCUCUCCAGUUCAUUGCCAACAUCUGUCUUCGGCAUUCAACAAUAGUUGAAAAGUACAAUAAAUGCAUUUUGUCUGUUUUUUCAGAUGUUUCACAUUCACUAGACUACACUGUACUGCCACUGAUAGCAUCUGUGGAACAGAGACUGAAAUGUUUUUCACUUCUUCCGUGGGGAGCCAAUUUAAAAUCCUUCCAAUGACUUGCGAAGACUGCAUGAGAAAUACCACCUCUCAUUCAUCACCAGCCAGGCUGCCAGGAGGGCAUUUGAGACGGCCACAAAGAGGCUCACAGAUGCACAGGAGAGCAUCGUGGCGGAUUAUCUGGCCCACUCAGAUGGUACUGCAGAGAAACACUAGAGGAUGCUGACACAUGACAACAUCUGCUCAGCCAUUGAAGUCAUUGAAGGUGUUGCAGAGGAGGGAGCUCAAUCAACACCAACAUCCGCUGUGGCAGCUGCAGGAUCUGGAAAUCCGAAGAUGGAUGAUGCCACAGCCUUCCAGGAGCUGACACGGGAGUUUCCAGUGUCGUUAGAUGGGCAGCUUCCCAGAAAGAAAGAGCGCCUGAGACUGACUGGAAGUCAUGACUGACACUGUUACGACAGGUGGAGAUCAGAUCAGAGGAAAAUGAGACUGCAGAACAUUAUUGACCAUUACGCUAGACUGUUACCAACAGAAGUCCAGGUGACCCACUAUUUUCAAAGCAUGGGCUGGACUGCAAAUACACCAACAGCGUCUGAAGUGCUUGAGAAGUGGAAGCCCAACACAGAUGCACAACCAAAUGAAAGGCAAGUUAAAAAGAUGGAAAGCAUCAAACCUGGAGAGGCCUGAGUAUCACUGACGAUCCAGUGAAGGGGAAGAAGGUUGUGACUUCCAGGCGUUUCCAGAAAGGAGAGGUGGUGUGUGAUUACCAUGGCGAGGUCAUCGCAAAGACAGCUGCAGAAGCCCUAAAGGCACAGAUGGCAGAGGGAGAGAUGAGAUGUCUGUUCUUUUUUGAUGGACCUACACAAAA